GAAUAUUGGACAAUGGGGGGAACCCUGAUCCAGCCAUGCCGCGUGUGUGAAGAAGGCCUUUUGGUUGUAAAGCACUUUAAGCGAGGAGGAGGCUACUUAGAUUAAUACUCUAGGAUAGUGGACGUUACUCGCAGCAUAAGCACCGGCUACCUCUGUGCCAGCACCCGCGGUAAUACAGAGGGUGCCAGCGUUAAGCGGAUUAACUGGGCGUCAAGCGCGCGUAGGUGGCGAAUUAAGUCAAAUGUGAAAUCCCCGAGCUUAACUUGGGAAUUGCAUUCGAUACUGGUUGGCUAGAGUAUGGGAGAGGAUGGUAGAAUUCCAGGUGUAGCGGUGAAAUGCGUAGAGAUCUGGAGGAAUACCGAUGGCGAAGGCAGACAUCUGGCCUAAUACUGACACUGAGGUGCGAAAGCAUGGGGAGCAAACA
rnacentral:rRNA from 1 species